AGGAGAUGAAGAAGAAAGAAAUUGUGAGGUGUGUGGAAGCAAGCAAUAUGCAUGGAGGGAAAUUCUGUAGCCCAACAUGUUAGGAAAAGAAGGAAAAUGAAGAUUUAACAAAUGUCCCAUCUUUUAACAUCUCUGCCUUUCUUUCUUCCACAUUCCUCUUUUUUUUUUUUUUUUUUUAAAGAAUAAUUGGAAUGAAUAUAUUUUAUGGACCAAUCAAUUCUCAUCUCAGGCCUCCAAAUACUAGCAGCUACUUCAAGUAUUAUUGUUAAUGGGUUUCCAUCAUUUCAUUUGGUUGUAUCCACUUGGGUUUUGGGACCACUGGUUUGCUCAUCUCUCACACCAUAAAUUUUUUAGCUCUUCUCUUCGACUUAUCAAUUCCAUCCAUCUCUACGAGUAUUUGAGCAGUAGUUUUCAUGGCCCAGGUUGCCAAAUCUGAGAAUCCAACGGCUGCAUUUCCGCAUUAAUGGUGAGACAAGUAAAUGUGUCCAAAACAUUAGCUUGCUCAUUUGUUGGGGACCAGAUUUUUUAUUUUGCCUUCUUUUAUUGUGAUAUAAUUCACGAGAACCUGACACUGAUGUCCGAGGUGAAAGCCCCAUCUCUGUAGCCUAAGGCAGACUGUUUCAUUUACAUUUAAAGAACAAGUUUACUAGGCUUGCUCUCAUUUAUUGGCCACUCACUCUGCGUCAGGAAUCACAUCUUUUUUUUUUUGUCUUUUUUAUUUUUCUUUUACUGCGAUCUCCUUAUCAUCUCACGGUCAUGCAACUUCAUCAAUUAUUCCGCACCAUAUGCAACCAGCCUGGACCUGGACCCCCUAAUUCUUACAAGGACAUUAAUAUAUUUACGCUUUCUGGGCCAUUUCCUUGUGUUGGUUAUUGGGCCAAGCCCACAGAAAGCUUUGGAUGGUAGGUGAAAGAGGAAGAGUAGUUGUAGGCUUGCAGGUUUUGAAUUGUAGGUUUCAACUGAAAAUUAUAAAGAAAUGUUGGUCAGGUUUUUCUUUUUAGAUACUCUCACAUUUCUUCGCAAACACUGCGAGUUCCUUAGGUUUAUUAAAGUAUCUUCACGCGAUCAUCUGCUCUGAUUUUCCCAGAUAUCUUCGUUUCAAGUUAAGGAACCUUUGUGUGUCCAUUUCAGUAGAGCAAGAACUAGGAAAUGCAUCCUGGUGGACCAGGGGGACCUGGACCUGGAGGGCCUGGAUGGGGUCCUGGACCCGGGGGGCCUGGCUGGGGUCCUGGACCCGGAGGACCUGGCUGGGGUCCUGGACCCGGAGGACUUGGCUGGGGUCCGGGACUUGGAGGGCCUGGUUGGGGUGGACCAGGAGCUUGGGGUGCUGGACCUGGAGGAUUUUUUGAUGGUUUAUGCGGCAUGGUAUCUUCUUUGUUCUACUGCUUGUGCUGUUGUUGGUUGAUACAGGAUUGCUUUGGUGGACCUCGCGGUCCAUAUGGCCCACCUGGUCCUGGCGGACCCCCACCAUUCUGAUGCUCUGCUCAUCCAUUCAGUCAUGGAAUAACGGUUCCCUUGUCCUGUUGAAACUUUCUCAGAAGCACUUUGAUUUCUUUUACGUUGUCUUAAUUUGUUGUUUACCUUACAGCUUCAAGGAUGCCUAUUUCUCGUCUCCACUUCAUUCAUAAGGGUUAAAGCGUAUGAACAUCAUGUUUAUUGCUACUAAUUCUGAACAAAUCAGCAUCUGAAUCUGUUUUACAGAUUGUAUGAAUUGUUUUAGAAAUUAAUGGCCGUUCCUUUUAUGACAUCAAA